rnacentral:rRNA from 2 species
UACGUAGGGCGCAAGCGUUGUCCGGAAUUAUUGGGCGUAAAGAGCUCGUAGGUGGCUUGUUGCGUCUGCCGUGAAAGCCCGUGGCUUAACUACGGGUCUGCGGUGGAUACGGGCAGGCUAGAGGCUGGUAGGGGCAAGCGGAAUUCCUGGUGUAGCGGUGAAAUGCGCAGAUAUCAGGAGGAACACCGGUGGCGAAGGCGGCUUGCUGGGCCAGUUCUGACGCUGAGGAGCGAAAGCGUGGGGAGCGAACAGG